CAGAUAGCGGAGGAAACUUUUUGCUUCGCUGCGUCCAUGCACUGGUCGCCAUACUACCGACCUUGCCGCAUCGUCGACAACAGGGGACGUUGGCGCCACCGAACUUCUGGAAACAGUUAAUAAGAUUAGAUUUUUAUGGACAACACCGUCUGUUCGUUUCCUCUGCGGAAUGUAAAGGUGUCGACAGUUUAUGGCUAUUCUAUCGAGUCCAGACAGACUUCCAGAAAACCAACUUGUAUCGGACCAUUUCCUACAAAGUUAUGAUUGUCCUUUCGUUUAUUAUAAUCUGUCGUCGUGAACUUUAAGGUAAUAAAACGCGGAAUUAGCUCCGAUACUGGUCAAUUACGCAUCAUUAGGCGCAAUUGUAAUAAAAUAAACUUAUAUGCUUAAAAAUUAUUUCAGUGUGGCCAUUUCGGCGCUUACGCACACACAAUGUAUGUCGUUUAUCUUUUUUUUGCAACAAUUCUUACUUAACAUAGUGUCUGUUUUUAAUUGUGUACGUCAGACAGAGAGAGAUGUAUUAUUGGAUAUGUUAUAUAAUCGACGGAAUAAGCACAAUUUCAAAAUGUUACAUUGUUUAUUUAAAUUUUACAAUUGAUUAUUAAGUAGUUUAUUUAAAGAAAAAGACUGUAAAUUUUUUAAGAUAGUAUAAGGAAGAAAAAGCAGGUCCUAACCAAUUUUGUUUUGUUUGUACUCAGACAUGGAUAUUUGAAAAUGGUACAAAUGGUCUUGACAAGAUAUUAAUAUAAAAACUACAAAAAUCACUAAAGUUCAAGCUAAUGGUAUGUAAAAUUUCUGUUUGAAACUUAAAUUGUAAAUGUCACUUUACUUACCGACUA